rnacentral:rRNA from 1 species
UACGUAGGGGGCUAGCGUUGUCCGGAAUCAUUGGGCGUAAAGCGCGUGUAGGCGGCCCGGUAAGUCCGCUGUGAAAGUCGGGGGCUCAACCCUCGGAUGCCGGUGGAUACUGUCGGGCUCGAGUACGGAAGAGGCGAGUGGAAUUCCUGGUGUAGCGGUGAAAUGCGCAGAUAUCAGGAGGAACACCAAUUGCGAAGGCAGCUCGCUGGAACGUAACUGACGCUGAGACGCGAAAGCGUGGGGAGCAAACAGG